GACGAACGCUGGCGGCGUGCUUAACACAUGCAAGUCGAACGGAAAGGCCCUGCUUUUGUGGGGUGCUCGAGUGGCGAACGGGUGAGUAACACGUGAGUAACCUGCCCUUGACUUUGGGAUAACUUCAGGAAACUGGGGCUAAUACCGGAUAGGAUCUCCUGCUGCAUGGUGGGGGUGGGAAAGUUUCGGCGGUUGGGGAUGGACUCGCGGCUGAUCAGCUUGUUGGUGGGGUAGUGGCUUACCAAGGCUUUGACGGGUAGCCGGCCUGAGAGGGUGACCGGCCACAUUGGGACUGAGAUACGGCCCAGACUCCUACGGGAGGCAGCAGUGGGGAAUAUUGCACAAUGGGCGGACGCCUGAUGCAGCAACGCCGCGUGCGGGAUGACGGCCUUCGGGUUGUAAACCGCUUUCGCCUGUGACGAAGCGUGAGUGACGGUAAUGGGUAAAGAAGCACCGGCUAACUACGUG
rnacentral:rRNA from 1 species